UACGAAGGGGGCUAGCGUUGCUCGGAAUCACUGGGCGUAAAGGGUGCGUAGGCGGGUCUUAAGUCAGAGGUGAAAUCCUGGAGCUCAACUCCAGAACUGCCUUUGAUACUGGCGAUCUUGAGUCCGGGAGAGGUGAGUGGAACUGCGAGUGUAGAGGUGAAAUUCGUAGAUAUUCGCAAGAACACCAGUGGCGAAGGCGGCUCACUGGCCCGGUACUGACGCUGAGGUGCGAAAGCGUGGGGAGCAAACAGGG
rnacentral:rRNA from 1 species